rnacentral:rRNA from 1 species
UCAUAGUUGCCAUAUUAAGUAGGUCGGGACACGUGUUAUCUUGACUGAAGAUGGGGGGACCAUCCUCCAAGGCUAAAUACUCCUAACUGACCGAUAGUGAACUAGUACCGUGAGGGAAAGGCGAAAAGAACCCCUGUGAGGGGAGUGAAAUAGAACCUGAAACCGUAUACGUACAAGCAGUGGGAGCAGACUUGUUCUGUGACUGCGUACCUUUUGUAUAAUGGGUCAGCGACUUAUAUUUAGUAGCAAGGUUAACCGAUUAGGGGAGCCGUAGCGAAAGCGAGUGUUAACUGCGCGUUUAGUUGCUAGGUAUAGACCCGAAACCCGGUGAUCUAGCCAUGGGCAGGUUGAAGGUUGAGUAACAUCAACUGGAGGACCGAACCCACUGACGUUGAAAAGUCAGGGGAUGACUUGUGGCUGGGGGUGAAAGGCCAAUCAAACCGGGAGAUAGCUGGUUCUCCCCGAAAUCUAUUUAGGUAGAGCCUCGGACGAACACCAUUGGGGGUAGAGCACUGUUAAGGCUAGGGGGUCAUCCCGACUUACCAACCCUUUGCAAACUCCGAAUACCGAUGAGUGCUAUCCGGGAGACACACGGCGGGUGCUAACGUCCGUCGUGAAGAGGGAAACAACCCAGACCGCCAGCUAAGGUCCCAAAAUAUUGCUAAGUGGGAAACGAAGUGGGAAGGCUAAAACAGCUAGGAGGUUGGCUUAGAAGCAGCCAUCCUUUAAAGAAAGCGUAAUAGCUCACUAGUCGAGUCGGCCUGCGCGGAAGAUGUAACGGGGCUAAGCAAUAUACCGAAGCUGCGGAUUUGACCUUAGGGUCAAGUGGUAGGGGAGCGUUGUGUAAGUGGUUGAAGGUGAGUCGAGAGGCUUGCUGGACAUAUCACAAGUGCGAAUGCUGACAUGAGUAACGAUAAUGGGGGUGAAAAACCCCCACGCCGGAAGACCAAGGUUUCCUGUCCCAUGCUAAUCAGGGCAGGGUAAGUCGGCCCCUAAGGCGAGGCAGAAAUGCGUAGUCGAUGGGAAACGGAUUAAUAUUUCCGUACUUGUUAUAUCAGUGAAGGGGGGACGGAGAAGGUUAUGCAAGCAUGGCGUUGGUUGUCCAUGUGAAAGUGCGUAGGGCGUUGGUUUAGGUAAAUCCGGACUGACAUUAACCNNNNNNNNNNNNNNNNNNNNNNNNNNNNNNNNNNNNNNNNNNNNNNNNNNNNNNNNNNNNNNNNNNNNNNNNNNNNNNNNNNNNNNNNNNNNNNNACCACGGUCGCGAAGUUGCAAAUACCCUGCUUCCAGGAAAAGCCUCUAAACUUAUGAUAUAGCGAACCGUACCCCAAACCGACACAGGUGGUCAGGUAGAGAAUACUAAGGCGCUUGAGAGAACUCGGGUGAAGGAACUCGGCAAAAUUGUACCGUAACUUCGGGAGAAGGUACGCCCUUGAUUGUGAUGGCACUUGCUGCUUAAGCGAUUGAGGGCCGCAGUGACCAGGUGGCUGGGACUGUUUAUUAAAAACACAGCACUGUGCUAAAUCGAAAGAUGACGUAUACGGUGUGACACCUGCCCGGUGCCGGAAGGUUAAUUGAUGGGGUUAGACUUAUGUCGAAGCUCUUGAUCGAAGCCCCGGUAAACGGCGGCCGUAACUAUAACGGUCCUAAGGUAGCGAAAUUCCUUGUCGGGUAAGUUCCGACCUGCACGAAUGGUGUAACCAUGGCCACGCUGUCUCCACCCGAGACUCAGUGAAAUUGAAAUUGCAGUGAAGAUGCUGUGUACCCGCACCUAGACGGAAAGACCCCGUGAACCUUUACUACAGCUUGGCACUGAACAUUGACCCUACAUGUGUAGGAUAGGUGGGAGGCUAUGAAGCGUUGUCGCCAGAUGACGUGGAGCUGCCCUUGAAAUACCACCCUUGUAUGUUUGAUGUUCUAACAUUGGCCCCUAAUCGGGGUUGUGGACAGUGUCUGGUGGGUAGUUUGACUGGGGCGGUCUCCUCCCAAAGCGUAACGGAGGAGCACGAAGGUUGGCUAAUCCUGGUCGGACAUCAGGAGGUUAGUGCAAUGGCAUAAGCCAGCUUAACUGCGAGACAGACACGUCGAGCAGGUACGAAAGUAGGUCAUAGUGAUCCGGUGGUUCUGAAUGGAAGGGCCAUCGCUCAACGGAUAAAAGGUACUCCGGGGAUAACAGGCUGAUACCGCCCAAGAGUUCAUAUCGACGGCGGUGUUUGGCACCUCGAUGUCGGCUCAUCACAUCCUGGGGCUGAAGUCGGUCCCAAGGGUAUGGCUGUUCGCCAUUUAAAGUGGUACGCGAGCUGGGUUUAGAACGUCGUGAGACAGUUCGGUCCCUAUCUGGUGUGGGCGUUGGAUGAUUGAUGGGAGCUGCUCCUAGUACGAGAGGACCGGAGUGGACGAACCGCUGGUGUUCGGGUUGUGAUGCCAAUUGCAUUGCCCGGUAGCUACGUUCGGAAUCGAUAACCGCUGAAAGCAUCUAAGCGGGAAGCGAGCCCAGAGAUGAGUCAUCCCAGACAGUUUAACUGUCCUGAAGGGUUGUUGAAGACGACGACGUUGAUAGGCAGGGUGUGGAAGCGUUGUAAGGCGUUAAGCUAACCUGUACUAAUUGCCCGUGCGGCUUAACCAU